rnacentral:rRNA from 1 species
AUUGAACGCUGGCGGCAGGCCUAACACAUGCAAGUCGAGCGGAUGAAGGGAGCUUGCUCCUGGAUUCAGCGGCGGACGGGUGAGUAAUGCCUAGGAAUCUGCCUGGUAGUGGGGGAUAACAUCCGGAAACGGGCGCUAAUACCGCAUACGUCCUGAGGGAGAAAGUGGGGGAUCUUCGGACCUUACGCUAUCAGAUGAGCCUAGGUCGGAUUAGCUAGUUGGUGGGGUAAAGGCCUACCAAGGCGACGAUCCGUAACUGGUCUGAGAGGAUGAUCAGUCACACUGGAACUGAGACACGGUCCAGACUCCUACGGGAGGCAGCAGUGGGGAAUAUUGGACAAAGGGCGAAAGCCUGAUCCAGCCAUGCCGCGUGUGUGAAGAAGGUCUUCGGAUUGUAAAGCACUUUAAGUUGGGAGGAAGGGCAGUAAGUUAAUACCUUGCUGUUUUGACGUUACCAACAGAAUAAGCACCGGCUAACUUCGUG